rnacentral:rRNA from 1 species
AUGGCGCAAACUUCAAACAUCCGUGAGAUUGAAAUCCUUUUACUAGAGUAUUGUGAAAGAGAUGUUAUUCCAACAAUGAUUCAAAUCGACGAAAGCACCCAAGGAACGAUUGAAGAGCAAAUGUUGUACAACAGAAAAACAUUGAGGGAAAUUAUAGAACUGCGAUAUGCUGACGUUAAAAGAAAGGAAUUUGUAUGCACAACAAAAGCAACAAUUGAUGAUAUUAUAACAGAUAAAGGCUGGUGGUACAUGGCAUGCAAACUUUGCUUUUGUGCUACAAAAAAGGAACAAGAUAACUAUAUUUGCACUUCCUGUCAUGAAGUAGCUCAAAAUCCAGACAUGCGGUACCUACUUAAACUGAAGGUACACGAUGGCACGGCAACAACAACUUUCGUGAUGUUUAAUGAGGUAGCAAAGAGUCUUUUAGGCAACAUAUCUGCAUCGACCCUAUUAGAGCAGGAGGGAUUCAACAACACAAUACCAGAUGUUAUUCAGAACCUUUAUGGCAGAACACUCAUAUUUCGACUGAAGUUAAAUUCAAAGAAUCUAGAAGAGUGUAUGGAAAAUUUUAAAGUGAGCUACACUUUUGAAGUUGAUGAAAAACUUGAGAUGGAAUAUUCAAAUGAAAUGAUUGAAGAGGUGAACCACUCCUCCAAGAAUGCAACGACUGAUGAGAAGAAGGAUAUGUGCAGAAAGGAAACCUCAGUAUCAUCCAACAAAAAGCAACAACAGAGGAUACAGAAGUCUAGCAAAAGAUAUGUAAAAGAUGGGAGACCGGUUGCUUCCAGAACAGUUGUUAAAAUUGAAGCUCCUGACGAUGAGGAGGAGGAGGAAAAUGAUGAACCGCAAGGGAGUAUAAAACAGACUAAAGGAAAACUAUCGGUGAUUACUGUAAUACUUCUAAAUGGGUGUUGGCCUGGACGCUCGGCAGAGUAG